rnacentral:rRNA from 1 species
AUACGUAGGUGACAAGCGUUAUCCGGAUUUACUGGGCGUAAAGGGCGCGUAGGCGGCCCGGUAAGUCUGGAGUGAAAGUCCUGUUUUUGAGAUGGGAAUUGCUUUGGAGACUGUCGGGCUUGAGUGCAGGAGAGGUAAGUGGAAUUCACAGUGUAGCGGGGAAAUGCGUAGAGAUUGGGAGGAACACCAGUGGCGAAGGCGACUUACUGGACUGUAACUGACGCUGAGGCGCGAAAGUGUGGGGAGCAAACAGGAUUAGAUACCCUGGUAGUCCACACUGUAAACGAUGAAUGCUAGGUGUAGGGGGUAUCGACCCCUUCUGUGCCGCAGUCAACACAAUAAGCAUUCCGCCUGGGGAGUACGGCCGCAAGGUUGAAACUCAAAUGAAUUGACGGGG